GUGAGGAAUAUUGGUCAAUGGGCGGGAGCCUGAACCAGCCAAGUCGCGUGAAGGAAGAAGGAUCUAUGGUUCGUAAACUUCUUUUGCAGGGGAAUAAAGUGCAGGACGUGUCCUGUUUUGUAUGUACCCUGAGAAUAAGGAUCGGCUAACUCCGUGCCAGCAGCCGCGGUAAUACGGAGGAUCCGAGCGUUAUCCGGAGUUAUUGGGUUUAAAGGGUGCGUAGGUGGUUUGAUAAGUCAGCGGUGAAAGUUUGCAGCUUAACUGUAAAAAUGCCGUUGAAACUGUCGGACUUGAGUGUAAAUGAGGUAGGCGGAAUGCGUGGUGUAGCGGUGAAAUGCAUAGAUAUCACGCAGAACUCCGAUUGCGAAGGCAGCUUACUAAGCUACAACUGACACUGAAGCACGAAAGCGUGGGGAUCAAACAGGAUUAGAUACCCUGGUAGUCC
rnacentral:rRNA from 1 species